AUUGAACGCUGGCGGCAGGCCUAACACAUGCAAGUCGAGCGGAUGAAGGGAGCUUGCUCCUGGAUUCAGCGGCGGACGGGUGAGUAAUGCCUAGGAAUCUGCCUGGUAGUGGGGGAUAACGUCCGGAAACGGGCGCUAAUACCGCAUACGUCCUGAGGGAGAAAGUGGGGGAUCUUCGGACCUCAUGCUCUCAGAUGAGCCUAGGUCGGAUUAGCUAGUUGGUGGGGUAAAGGCCUACCAAGGCGACGAUCCGUAACUGGUCUGAGAGGAUGAUCAGUCACACUGGAACUGAGCCACGGUCCAGACUCCUACGGGAGGCAGCAGUGGGGAAUAUUGGACAAUGAGCGAAAGCCUGAUCCAGCCAUGCCGCGUGUGUGAAGAAGGUCUUCGGAUUGUAAAGCACUUUAAGUUGGGAGGAAGGGCAGUAAGUUAAUACCUUGCUGUUUUGACGUUACCAACAGAAUAAGCACCGGCUAACUUCGUG
rnacentral:rRNA from 1 species